AGAUCUGUUUGCCCUCGCUUGAGCCUGACUCCUUGCUACAGGAAAGACAAUGUUUAUGUAAGCAGCAGGUAAGUGAUAUGGCUUGGCUCUGUGUCCCCACCCAAAUCUCAUCUUGAAUUGUAGUUCCAUAAUUCCCAUGUGUUGUGGGAGGGACCCAGUGGUAGAUAAUUUGAAUCAUGGGGAGCAGUUUCCCCCAUACCGUUCUCAUGGUAGUGAGUAAGUCUCAUGAGAUCUGUCGUUUUAUCAGGGGUUUCUACUUUUGCGUCUUCCUCAUUUUCUCUUGCCACCACCAUGUAAGAAGUGCCUUUCACCUCCCACUAUGAUUCUGAGGCCUCCCCAGUCAUGGGGAACUGUAAGUGUAAUUAAACUUCUUUUUCUUCCGAGUCUUGGGUAUAUGUUUAUCAGCUGCAUGAAAAUGGACUAAUACAGUACAUUGGUACUGGAAGUGGGGCACUGCUGAAAAGAUACCCGAAAAUGUGGAAGCGACUUUAGAACUGGGUAACAGGCAGAAGUUAGAACAGUUUGGAGGGCUCAGAAGAAGACAGGAAAAUGUGGGAAAGUUUGGAACUCCCUAGAGACUUGUUGAAUGGCUUUGACAAAUGUAUUGUUAAUGAUAUGGACAAUGAAAUCCAGGCUGAGGUGGUCUCAGAUGGAGAUGAGUAACUUUUUGGGAACUGGAGCAAAGUUGACUCUUGUUAUGUUUUAGCAAAGAGACUGGCAGCAUUUUGCCUCUGCCCUAGAGAUCCGUGGAGCUUUGAAUUUGAGAGAGAUGAUUUAGGGUACCUGGCAGAAGAAAUUUGUAAGCAGCAAAGCACUCAAGAGGUGACUGGGGUGCUUCUAAAGGCAUUCAGUUUUAAAAAGGAAGCAGAGCAUAAAAGUUUGGAAAAAUUUGCAGCCGGACAAUGUCAUAGGAUAGAAAAUCUUAUUUUCUGAGGAGAAAUUCAAGCUGGCUGCAGAUACUUGCAUAAAUAAUGAGGAGCUGAAUGUUAAUCUCCAAGACAAUGGGGGAAGUGUCUCCAGGGCAUGUCAGAGACCUUUGUGGCAGCCUCUGUCAUAACAGACCUGGAGGUCUAGGAGGGAAAAAUGGUUUUGUGGGCAGGGCCCAGGGUCCCCAUGCUGUGUGCAGUAUAGAGACUUGGUGCCCUGUGUCCCAGCCACUCCCACUGUAGCUGAAAGGGGCCAACAUAGAGCUCAGGCCAUGGCUUCAGAUGGUGCAAGCUUCAAGCCUUGGCAGCUUCCAUGUGGUGUUGAGCCUGUGGGUGCACAGAAGUCAAGAAUUGAGGUUGGGAACCUCUGCCUAGAUUUCAGAUGUAUGGAAAUGCAUGGAUGCCCAGGCAGAAGUUUGCUGCAGGGGUGGGGCUCUCAUGGAGAACCUUUGCUAGGGCAGGGUGCAAGGGAAAUGUGGGGUUGGAACCCCCACACAGAGUCCCUACUGGGGCACUGUGGUUGAAUGGCUUUGACAUUGGCCUAGUGGAGCUGUGAGAAGAGGGCCACUGUUCUCCAGACCCCAGAAUUGUAGAGCCACCCACAGCUUUCACCAGGUGCCUGGAAAAGCCAUGGACACUCAAUGCCAGCCCAUGAAUGCAGCGGGGAGGGAGGCUGUACCCUGCAAAGCCACAGGGGUGGAGCUGCCCAAGACUAUGGGAACCCACCUCUUGCAUCAGCAUGACCUGGAUGUGAGACCUGGAGUCAAAGGAGAUCAUCUUGCAGCUUUAAGAUUUGACUGCCCUGCUUGAUUUCAGACUUGCAUGGGGCCUGUAGCCCCUUUGUUUUGGCCAAUUUCCCCCAUUUGGAAUGGCUAUAUCUACCCAAUACCUGUACCCCCAUUGUAUCUAGGAAGUAACUAGCUUGCUUUUGAUUUUACAGGCUCAUAGGAGGAAGGGACUUGCCUUGUCUCAGAUGACACUUUGGACUUUUGGGUUAAUGCUGAAAAGAGUUAAACUUUGGGGGACUGUAGGGAAGACAUGAUUGGUUUUGAAAUGUGAGGACAUGAGAUUUGGAGGGGCCAGGGGUGGAAUGAUAUGGUUUGGCUCUGUGUCCCCACCCAAAUCUCAACUUGAAUUGUAUCUCCAAUAAUUCCCAUGUGUUGUGAGAGGGACCCAGUGGGAAAUAAUUUGAAUCACGGGGGCAGUUCCCCCAUACUGUUCUCAUGGUAGUGAAUAAGUCUCAUGAGAUCUAAUGGUUUUAUAAGGGUUUUCUGUUUUUUCAUCUUCCUCGUCUUCUCUUGCUGCUGCCAUAUAAGAAAUGCCUUUUACCUCCCACUGUGAUUCUGAGGCCCCCUCAGCCAUGUGGAAUUGUGAAUACUUGGCAGGACAACAGGCAGACAAGGAGCAGCCUGGGCUACACCCUCCUCCAUCCAGCUUGGCAGGGAAGGUCUUGGUGCCUCAGUUGAAACUUCCAAUUUAACAUCCUGACACACACUACUCCCUCUUCCUGUGAUCAUCAGAACAAGAUAAAACCUUGUGUGUCUGGAUAGUUCUCAUCUGUUAAGAUUCAGGU
rnacentral:lncRNA from 1 species